ensembl:snRNA U6 U6 spliceosomal RNA
GUGCUUGCUUCAGCAGCACGUAUACUAAAAUUUUAACAGUACAGAGAAGAAUUAGCAUGGCCCCGGUGCAUAGGUGACAUGAAAAUUCUUGAAGCAUUCCGUUUUUUU